GAGUAACACGUGGGCAACCUGCCUCAUAGAUGGGGAUAACACCGAGAAAUCGGUGCUAAUACCGAAUAAUAGAGCGGAGCGCAUGCUCCGCGCUUGAAAGUCGGCUUUGAGCUGACACUAUGAGAUGGGCCCGCGGCGCAUUAGCUAGUAGGUGAGGUAACGGCUCACCUAGGCGACGAUGCGUAGCCGACCUGAGAGGGUGAUCGGCCACACUGGGACUGAGACACGGCCCAGACUCCUACGGGAGGCAGCAGUAGGGAAUCUUCGGCAAUGGACGAAAGUCUGACCGAGCAACGCCGCGUGAGUGAUGAAGGUUUUCGGAUCGUAAAACUCUGUUGUCAGGGAAGAACAAGUACGAGAGUAACUGCUCGUACCUUGACGGUACCUGACCAGAAAGCCACGGCUAACUACGUGCCAGCAGCCGCGGUAAUACGUAGGUGGCAAGCGUUGUCCGGAAUUAUUGGGCGUAAAGCGCGCGCAGGCGGUUCUUUAAGUCUGAUGUGAAAGCCCACGGCUCAACCGUGGAGGGUCAUUGGAAACUGGGGAACUUGAGUGCAGGAGAGAAAAGUGGAAUUCCACGUGUAGCGGUGAAAUGCGUAGAGAUGUGGAGGAACACCAGUGGCGAAGGCGGCUUUUUGGCCUGUAACUGACGCUGAGGCGCGAAAGCGUGGGGAGCAAACAGGAUUAGAUACCCUGGUAGUCCACGCCGUAAACGAUGAGUGCUAGGUGUUGGGGGGUUCCACCCUCAGUGCUGACGUUAACACAUUAAGCACUCCGCCUGGGGAGUACGACCGCAAGGUUGAAACUCAAAGGAAUUGACGGGGGCCCGCACAAGCAGUGGAGCAUGUGGUUUAAUUCGAAGCAACGCGAAGAACCUUACCAGGUCUUGACAUCCUCUGACCACUUGAGAGAUCAAGCUUUCCCCUUCGGGGGACAGAGUGACAGGUGGUGCAUGGUUGUCGUCAGCUCGUGUCGUGAGAUGUUGGGUUAAGUCCCGCAACGAGCGCAACCCUUGACCUUAGUUGCCAGCAUUCAGUUGGGCACUCUAAGGUGACUGCCGGUGACAAACCGGAGGAAGGUGGGGAUGACGUCAAAUCAUCAUGCCCCUUAUGACCUGGGCUACACACGUGCUACAAUGGAUGGUACAAAGGGCUGC
rnacentral:rRNA from 1 species